rnacentral:rRNA from 1 species
CCUACGGGAGGCUGCAGUGGGGAAUCUUGCACAAUGGAGGAAACUCUGAUGCAGCGACGCCGCGUGAGCGAUGAAGCCCUUCGGGGUGUAAAGCUCUUUCGUCAGGGACGCGGUACCUGGAGAAGCAGCUGCGGCUAACUACGUGCCAGCAGCCGCGGUAAUACGUAGGCAGCAAGCGUUGUUCGGAGUUACUGGGCGUAAAGGGUGCGUAGGCGGCUUUUUAAGUUUGGUGUGAAAUCUCCCGGCUCAACUGGGAGGGUGCGCCGAAUACUGAGAAGCUAGAGUGUGGGAGAGGAAAGUGGAAUUCCUGGUGUAGCGGUGAAAUGCGUAGAUAUCAGGAGGAACACCGGUGGUGUAAACGGCUUUCUGGACAUACUGACGCUGAGGCACGAAAGCGUGGGUAGCAAACAGGAUUAGAUACCCUUGUAGUC